ACCCAUUUUGCUUCUUUUACUGGCCAGCAGCUUUGAAAUUCAGCUUGCUGAACAGAAUGCCUCCGCAGAAGCUUCAAAACCACACCGACGACGUUCAGACUUUAGACGAAUGAAGAGAGACAGAGCGGAUAGGAACUGACUAAAGUGACGUAAAAUGUUGUGUUCAACUUCAAACUUCUUUUGUUUGUCGCUUGGUUUCUAACUGGUAAGAUAUCAAAAGCCCUUAAGACUUAUCUGCUCUCCCAAGUUAUCGACAAACCUCUCAUAUUAAGCCAAGAUAGCAAAUAAAACACACACACACACACACACACACACACACACACUAUUCAUUUCUAUUCAUUUGAAUUCCACCUUUGGGGCACUUGCCUCGCGUGAGCAAGACCAAAUUGAAUUCUCCCUGUGGAGCAUUGUGUUAGAAGAAUAAGAUACGAUGCAGCUCACCCGAAGUUGUUCCAUCUACUGUGAAAAGCCAAUAAACAUUUGCAGUUAAUUUUUCAAGUGUCAGGCACCUUGCUAUGCCUUAGUCUGACCAACUGCACCACCCCCUUGUAUUUCUUUUAAAAUUCCCAACUAAGUACUACAAGUGACACGGAAGGGUGGUUAGUGCACACCUGCUAUUCCAGCACCUGGAAGGCCAGACAGAAAGAUAGUGAAUUUGUGGCCAGCUCGGACUACUUAGGAAGUCCCCAGGCAACCUAGAUCACAAAUAAGACCUUCCUCUCAAAACCUAGCAAUUAACUGUGCUUUUCCACGUUGGUUCCCAGGAAGGAGAGGUGACCUCUCUGAUUCCGAUAUGCCAGACAGAUUCUGUUGCUUUUGUUUCCAGGAUCUGACCCAACCCAUAAACAGAAAUGCUGGCUUUUGAUAGAAAUUCACCAAGCAAAUGUCCCUUUCUGCCGGCCGUCAAGCUAACGUUAAGUGUUACUAGAUCACCCUGAUCUUUAACAUCUGCUGAAGGUCAAGCCCUGUUGUAAUACGACUCUGAAAACUUGACACUGUCUCUGGGUCUGUACACUUCCCAGGAAUGGGAGCCAACAAAAGAAACGUUUUAAAUACCAAAAAACCAGCUGGUUUGCCACCCUCUUCUGAUUGUGUCCGUCCCCCUCCCCCAUGUGAUACUGUGAGGAAGAAGUGGACUUGGAGAUUAUUGAGCCUUGAAGGAAUGCCCUUAUGAGAUCAGAGGGUUCUGGCUAACCCUCCCCCAUUGAGAGAACUCAGCAAGAAUGUGUCACCAUUCUGGGCUGGAGAGUUGGCUCAGUGGUUAAGAGCAUUGAUGGCUCUUCCAGAGGUCCUGAGUUCAAGUCCCGGCAACUACAUGGUGACUCACAACCAUCUGUAAUGGGAUCAGAUGCUCUCUUCUGGUGUAUCUGAAGACAGCUAGUGUAGUCACAUAAAUAAAUCUU
rnacentral:lncRNA from 1 species